rnacentral:lncRNA from 1 species
AUGAUGCCGGGGAGGCAAACACCUCGACAUGAGCGACGCCUGGGCUGUGCUCCAAGCCGUGAUACACGAACCGUGUGGCUCAUCCCACAGGUUAUUCCCCCAAAGGUGCCAGCUCCUGAAAGCCUGGGCUUUGCCCAAGGAGGUCACCACUGUGGGGCUUCUCCUGAGAUAUCUGGUCUCCUUCAAAGUGGCAUCCACAGGAGGGGGUCGUCCCUUCAACACAGAGUAAUUCUGCCUGGAGGCUAUUUAGUGAAGAGCCUUGCUGGUUUUGGGCCCACUGGAAACUAUUUAUCACUGUUUACAGAAGAGAAAAGCCGAGCCACCAGAUUAGCAACCAAAUCCAAGGCUGAUUUCAAAGUACAUUCUCCGAUAGAACAAUACACAUCUUUCCAAUUCAGGGAUGGGAGUGGAUACCUGAGUAAAACAUCACUGUCAAAAGGCAGCCUGACUCUCACCAACUGUGAGGACAAAAAGAAUAUGCAUACCUUCCAGAAGAAAACACUGUAGCUAGGCCUCAAAGGUUCAUUAUCAAAUGAUUUCCAUGAGGUCGUGAGGUUUCCAGCAGUGAACGGAGCAUCUCAGCCUUGGUUUCACUAAGGAGAGAUGGGCCUAGGUGCACAAGGAUCUGUCAUGUGCAAUUGUGUUUACUUGUGCCUGUUUGCUAACCUCCAGCUUCG